rnacentral:rRNA from 1 species
GACGUAGGGCGCGAGCGUUGUCCGGAUUUAUUGGGCGUAAAGAGCUCGUAGGCGGCUUGUCGCGUCGGCCGUGAAAUCUCCACGCUUAACGUGGAGCGUGCGGUCGAUACGGGCAGACUUGAGUUCGGUAGGGGAGACUGGAAUUCCUGGUGUAGCGGUGAAAUGCGCAGAUAUCAGGAGGAACACCGGUGGCGAAGGCGGGUCUCUGGGCCGAUACUGACGCUGAGGAGCGAAAGCGUGGGGAGCGAACAGG